rnacentral:lncRNA from 1 species
ACAUGUGGUGCACAUACAUACGUGUAGGCAUGAACAGGUACUUGAAUGCACAUGUGUAUGCAUGCCACAACAUGCAUCAGGGUUGGAGGGCAGCUUGCAGGAAUUGGUUCUUUCUUUUCAUAUGGUACCAAGAGGUUGGACUGAGGCAGUGAGGCCUGGCCCCAGGCAUUUCAAACAGGAACAACGCCUGAAAUACCAUGCACAUGUCAGCUACUGCAGGAAGCCACGUAGCUUGUGUGUUUCCACUUUUCUUCUUGGAUGCCACAUUUGCCACUGCUUUCUGGUGACUCCAGUGGCAUGCUGACACCUCCAGGAAGACAGACAGCCAGGAAGUUCGGGCAGCAGACCUGUGUCUACAUGAGCAGAGUUUAGUCGGUUUGCAUAUUCUUCCCUCAAAGGGUUGUUUUUGGUUUUGUUUUUAAUAACUACUUGUAAAUUGGAAGGAAAACAAGAAGAUUGAAAAUAAAUAAACAUGUGAGGUAUAGAA